GAACGGGUGAGUAACACGUGGGUAACCUGCCCAUCAGAAGGGGAUAACACUUGGAAACAGGUGCUAAUACCGUAUAACAAUCGAAACCGCAUGGUUUUGAUUUGAAAGGCGCUUUCGGGUGUCGCUGAUGGAUGGACCCGCGGUGCAUUAGCUAGUUGGUGAGGUAACGGCUCACCAAGGCCACGAUGCAUAGCCGACCUGAGAGGGUGAUCGGCCACAUUGGGACUGAGACACGGCCCAAACUCCUACGGGAGGCAGCAGUAGGGAAUCUUCGGCAAUGGACGAAAGUCUGACCGAGCAACGCCGCGUGAGUGAAGAAGGUUUUCGGAUCGUAAAACUCUGUUGUUAGAGAAGAACAAGGAUGAGAGUAACUGUUCAUCCCUUGACGGUAUCUAACCAGAAAGCCACGGCUAACUACGUGCCAGCAGCCGCGGUAAUACGUAGGUGGCAAGCGUUGUCCGGA
rnacentral:rRNA from 1 species